AACGAACGCUGGCGGCAGGCUUAACACAUGCAAGUCGAGCGGGCACUUCGGUGUCAGCGGCAGACGGGUGAGUAACACGUGGGAACGUGCCCUUCGGUUCGGAAUAACUCAGGGAAACUUGAGCUAAUACCGGAUACGCCCUUUUGGGGAAAGGUUGACCGCCGAAGGAUCGGCCCGCGUCUGAUUAGCUUGUUGGUGGGGUAACGGCCUACCAAGGCGACGAUCAGUAGCUGGUCUGAGAGGAUGAUCAGCCACACUGGGACUGAGACACGGCCCAGACUCCUGCGGGAGGCAGCAGUGGGGAAUAUUGGACAAUGGGCGCAAGCCUGAUCCAGCCAUGCCGCGUGAGUGAUGAAGGCCUUAGGGUUGUAAAGCUCUUUUGUCCGGGACGAUAAUGACGGUACCGGAAGAGUAAACCCCGGCUAACUUCGUGCCAGCAGCCGCGGUAAAAC
rnacentral:rRNA from 1 species